CAGUAGCCGCGGUAAUACGGAGGGUGCAAGCGUUAAUCGGAAUUACUGGGCGUAAAGCGCACGCAGGCGGUCUGACAAGUCAGAUGUGAAAUCCCCGGGCUUAACCUGGGAACUGCAUUUGAAACUGGCAAGCUAGAGUCUCGUAGAGGGGGGUAGAAUUCCAGGUGUAGCGGUGAAAUGCGUAGAGAUCUGGAGGAAUACCGGUGGCGAAGGCGGCCCCCUGGACGAAGACUGACGCUCAGGUGCGAAAGCGUGGGGAGCAAACAGGAUUAGAGACCCGUGUAGUCCCUGUCUCUUAUAC
rnacentral:rRNA from 1 species